ACUUUCAACAAUGGAUCUCUUGGCUCUCGCAUCGAUGAAGAACGCAGCAAAAUGCGAUAAGUAAUAUGAAUUGCAGAAUUCCGUGAAUCAUCAAAUCUUUGAACGCAAAUUGCACUUCUUGGUAUUCCGAGGAGUACACAUGCUUGAGGGUCAGUU
rnacentral:rRNA from 1 species